AACGCAAUAGGGAAAUAUGAGAUUAGAGUCGUGUCGUCUAAUCAAGGACUGGAAUUAUUUAUAAGCAUGAGUUUGGUUUGUCGUUGGACAAAAGGGAUGAAAGCUUUUCGGUCAUGUGGAUAUGUCUCAAACUUGCUCCUGUAGUACUCAUGACAAAGCUGUGCGGCAAGUGCUUGGUUACAGAGAACAUACAGCACCACCAGCCACCAGGAAAUCUCCAACAGCUUGCUUCCUACCUGAGCUGUCAGUCCUCAUCUUGGCCAGCAGAGAGAGGGACUGGUGCUGGAGAAAUGAGGCCCA